rnacentral:misc_RNA from 1 species
CACUGGCCGCGUUAGGGAUUGUAGUGGAAAGCCCACAGCGAGGGUUGGAAUUGCGAAUUGGGCAAGCGAGGACUUGGAACGGAAAGCCCGGCCGCAG